rnacentral:rRNA from 1 species
ACGCUCGACACCUAAGGCAGCAGUGGGGAAUAUUGCACAAUGGGGGAAACCCUGAUGCAGCGACGCCGCGUGAGUGAAGAAGUAAUUCGUUAUGUAAAGCUCUAUCAGCAGGGAAGAAAGUGACGGUACCUGAGUAAGAAGCCCCGGCUAACUACGUGCCAGCAGCCGCGGUAAUCUGAGCGGGCUGGCAAGGC